rnacentral:rRNA from 1 species
AGAGUUUGAUCAUGGCUCAGGAUGAACGCUGGCGGCGUGCCUAAUACAUGCAAGUCGAGCGAACAGAUAAGGAGCUUGCUCCUUUGACGUUAGCGGCGGACGGGUGAGUAACACGUGGGUAACCUACCUAUAAGACUGGGAUAACUUCGGGAAACCGGAGCUAAUACCGGAUAACAUUUGGAACCGCAUGGUUCUAAAGUGAAAGAUGGUUUUGCUAUCACUUAUAGAUGGACCCGCGCCGUAUUAGCUAGUUGGUAAGGUAACGGCUUACCAAGGCGACGAUACGUAGCCGACCUGAGAGGGUGAUCGGCCACACUGGAACUGAGACACGGUCCAGACUCCUACGGGAGGCAGCAGUAGGGAAUCUUCCGCAAUGGGCGAAAGCCUGACGGAGCAACGCCGCGUGAGUGAUGAAGGGUUUCGGCUCGUAAAACUCUGUUAUUAGGGAAGAACAAAUGUGUAAGUAACUGUGCACAUCUUGACGGUACCUAAUCAGAAAGCCACGGCUAACUACGUGCCAGCAGCCGCGGUAAUUC